AGAAAGUUAGUCUAACCAAGACAGUUGAUUUCGACUCAACAGAUUAUAGCCGCACCCUAUAACUUUCUU
rnacentral:tRNA from 1 species